AUGCAAGUCGAACGAGAAGACAUGAGAAGCUUGCUUCUUAUCGAUUCUAGUGGCAAACGGGUGAGUAACGCGUAAGCAACCUGCCCUUCAGAUGGGGACAACAGCUGGAAACGGCUGCUAAUACCGAAUACGUUCUUUCCGCCGCAUGACGGGAAGAAGAAAGGGAGGCCUUCGGGCUUUCGCUGGAGGAGGGGCUUGCGUCUGAUUAGCUAGGUUGGAGGGGUAACGGCCCACCAAGGCGACGAUCAGUAGCCGGUCUGAGAGGAUGAACGGCCACAUUGGGACUGAGACACGGCCCAGACUCCUACGGGAGGCAGCAGUGGGGAAUCUUCCGCAAUGGACGAAAGUCUGACGGAGCAACGCCGCGUGAACGAUGACGGCCUUCGGGUUGUAAAGUUCUGUUAUAUGGGACGAACAGGGCAUCGGUUAAUACCCGGUGUCUUUGACGGUACCGUAAGAGAAAGCCAC
rnacentral:rRNA from 1 species